AUAGGAAAUUGCGGGCUGUUGGAGGGAUCUGGAGAAUCAGGGAGGCCCGAUGCUCCAGGUUCAUCCCAAGCAUAUCUCCGCGCAUUCCCGGCUUGACAGAGAACCUCGUCUCUCUCCCCGAUGGCUUUAGACACAGCCUGGUUCGCUCCACGGCCAAAGAGCCUGAGCUCGCCCUCAGACGGUGUUCUCACCACAGCUGUGAGGUGAGGGCUGAGGUUUAGAUGCGUGACCGUUACUCCGAGGCUUAACGGCAUUGGUGGAGCCCCAGAACCAAUGUUAAGAGACAGAGGCUGGAAGGCGGGGUUUAAAUGCAAGAACGAGAAUGUAUCGAGAUCUCCGGCUCCGGUUACUCACUCGUAGGGUCCGUAUACAUGAAAUCUGCAGGGAACACGAUGAGAGGGUCUAGGGGAUUCGCCGGAAAACCCCCCGUCUGGUAACAAGAGAUCUGUGUGUGCUUAAUUUUAAGGCAAAUCCUAAGCCCCCAUACCCAUUCCAACAGGGAAUGGACACUGAUGGGAGAACAAAAUGGGACUCGUGCCCAACCUUCUUUCAGGGGUGGCUCUGGGGACCUUUGGCCCGGAGAAGGACGCUCUCCAUCAGCACUCAGGGCAGCCGAACCGAUGACGGUUAUCUGGGUUUGAUUUUGCUUCACUCCGGGGUAUCGGUAUGGUGCGAUCUGGCGUGGGAUCUAGCUUAGGUCACAGACUCGCAAAGAGCCGCAUCCAGAGCUGAUCGAGAGCAGCGAACAUCAUUCAGCGUUUCUGGACUCGGAACUGGGGGCAGCAGCUCCAUGUUACUUGGGGGUGUCUCUCAGCGGAGAGGCGGUAAACUAAUGCAUAGUUACGCGCAUGAGAGUUGCCGAACGGGUGUUUUUAUGAUGCUCUGUGUGGGCACAGCAGGAAGGGGCGCUGGACAGUCGAGGGGACGGACUUAGUAAUGCCAGCAGGCAGGCACUGACGGCGAUAAGGACUAACAUUUCUGAGAAUUAUGUGUUAGGCACCGUGGCCGCCUUUGGAUGAAUUACCUUAACACAGCACUUUAUGAGACGGGUAUCACCAAGGCCCCCAUUUUAUCGGCACAUGAGUGCAGGCUUAGAGAGAGUAAAUACGUCGCCUUCGGUCACACGGCACAGGACAGAUACCGGACCGAGAGUCUGCUGCGGAGCGCAUGUCACAGACCCUACACCUUCCGUUCGUAGAUUGUAUUAUUCUCACCAGUGCAGCCCCCAGCUCCUCCUUCUGGGAAAUAAACACUGUCCUCGUUGCCCUGGGCUCUGCCCUGAUGGGGCCCUGACCCAAGCACAACCAAUAGAAAUAUUUCCCCAGAAUUCCCCAGCGUGGGAUAAACCUGAAGUCCAAGUUCCUUGCAGCGCUGAGCAAGACCAGGGAGGUGGACGAUCGGGGGCAGCCAGGUCGACCCAGAAUCAUUGCCCUAUGGGUCCCCAAAGCAACUGGGACCUGGCUGAUGACAUCUGGGUCACCCUGGCCACAGGGACUCAGUGGCUCCACCAAGGGGACGAUGGUGUGUGGUCAGAGGGUGGGCAGCUUUGCAGCCUUGUAUUUACUGGGCCCGGCUUCACCUCUGCCCCCACGGGUACCUGGGGCCAAGCAUCCAGCCUCUUCUGGAGGCAGCGGGUUCAGCCAGAUGGGGGCCUGGUGGCUGGGGUCCAGCAGCAGGGGCCAGCGACAGCUGGAGUAGUGCGUGCGGCUUCGCAGGAGCAGCGCUGCCAGGCGGGCUGACUUUGCCUGGGGCUUCAGCGCUCGGUCCCACUGGAACUGUUCCGAUUCCGAGCUCAGUGAGGACAGGAGGCUGAAGGGAGAGCGUGUGGACAGCAGAGGGUUCCUGGGCGGCUUAGUGACCGGUUUCUGCACGUGCUUCAGCGCCUGGGCCACGUCAUCAGGGCCCAGGGGCUCCGGACAGCCCCUGCAGAGAGCCAGCCACUUGUCCAGCAGCUCCUGUCGCCGCGCCACUGGGAAGGGACCCAGGUAGCUGAUGGCAGCAGAACACAGGAGGGCAUCGCCAAGCACGGUUGUGAGGUGUCUCUUCAGCUUCUGGGGUGGAGGGAAGACCGGGGGGUGGGUAGGCGGGGGGGGGGUACAGGCCGAGGGGCCAUGGCGAGGGAGCCAGGCAUGGUGUGGAGCCUGGCAAGGGGGGCAGGGAGUGGGGCGGCCAAGGGGGCAGCGGGGCGAAUUGAACUGGGGGAGGCAGACCUGGGGGGCUGGUUACCUGGAGCUCUGUGGUCCAGGAAUGCAUGGGUGUGAAGAGUGCGGCCUUGAUGGACCACUUGCAACCACGGCCGCUCUGCGUCCGACUGAGCAUCUCUCCCACGUGCCUGUAGGCAGCCUGGGCCUCCUCCAGCUUCUUGGUCAGGGCCAAACUGUGCUCUAGCAUCUCCUGGGCCUGGAACUGGUAGUGGCCCAGGCGGGCCUGCUCCCGAGCCAGGGUGGCCUCCACCUGCCGCAGCAGCAGGCCCGUGGCCAGUCCUCGGCGCUGUGCCAGCCCGUAGCACAGAACCGCCCAGAGCCAGGCUGCCAGGCGAGCAGCAGGUACGCUCACCGCCCCCAAGGCUGCGUCGCUCAUACCUAGAGCCUUCAGAGCUCGGCUUAGCUUUACCAUCUCCGAGUCGGUCAUCUUCUCUUUGGGAAAGAACACCAGCUCCUGGGAGAGUGUGUGGUAAGAGGGGCGGGGAAGCCACAGAGGCUCUAACCGCCCCCUACCCGCAGGCUCCCUGUUAGGGCUCCAUUGGCUCCUCCACUGAACCCCACCUGAUAGAAAUCCUGAGUGCCCAACAGCUGCUUGGCACUGGCCCAGCCCGUUUCGCGGUGGAACAGGUCACACAGAGCAUCGGUCACCUGGACCACAGCCCCCGGGGGUGCUCGGUAGCUCCGAAUCUCCUCAAAGUCAGUCACCUGCAGCUGGCUCAGGGGCCCCAGAAACGCCUUGCCCAUCUAGAGGAGGAGAGACAGCCUCUUCGGGGUUCUUCCCGGAAGGAUCAUCUUUGCCCGGGGUCUCCUGAGGGGCCACACCGCAAGCCACCGCCUCCCCCACCGCCUCCUCCCUGACAAGUCAACCCAUCCUCUCCCUGGGCAUCCGAGAGGGGGUGUCCCCUGCCAAGAGCGGGGCGGGUGGCAGCAGAGCCCACCUGCUCCAGGAAGGCCUCGUGCUGAGUCCGCAGGGCAUCGUGCUGCUUGGUCAGGUUGCCAAGGAAGUGCUCCUGCUGCCGACACUCCGCCAGCUGCCGCUUGUACAGCAGCUUGCUCUGCUCCAGCUGAUGCUAUGAGCUCCAGCCUUGGUGGUCAGGGUGACCAAGCUGAGCUCCAGAUAGGCCGCAGAUCCAUGCUGAGCCCCGAAAGCAUCCCUUACGGGUCUGUGUGUCACACACCCAGUCACGCAGCCCCGAGUGGAUGCUUCUGACCUACUACCGGCCUGGGCAGGCUGAUCCAAAGUCUGCAUGCUUAACCCUUGGGCUACAUACAUUUUUUUUUUUUUGGCUUAUUUUAGGGCCGCACCUGCAGCAUAUGGAAGUUCCUGGGCCGGGGUUGAAUUGGAGCUGCAGCUGCCAGCCUACACCACAGCCACAGAAACGUGGGAGCUUCGUCUGUGACCUACACCACAGCUCAUGGCAAUGCCAGAUCCUUAGCCCACUGAGCAAGGCCAGGGAUUGAACCCACGUCCUCAUGGAUGCUAGUUGGGUUCGUUACCGUUGAGCCAUGACAGGAACUCCUCUAGUCUUUCUUGAUGCUUCAGAGCCCCUGGACUCAGCCUGUCCUUACAGACUGUUUUGUAAUUGCCCGCAUGAGCUUCUGUCUUCUAGUAAACCAGGCUCCGUGGAUGCCAGAGCAGUGCCUUACCUUUUUUAUUAUAAGGAGGCCAUCUAGCCUAAUACUAACAGAUGCCAACAUUUUUAGGCUCUUGCUAUGUGCCAGCACUUUGAAAUACUUGACAUGUGAGAUCUCAUUUCAUUCUCGUCCUAUAACCUCCCUCUGCGUUUUCUCAUCCGCAAAAUGGAAGAAACAGUGGCCUCCUUGGGAAAGCUGAGGUGAGAAUUUCAUCUGUCUACCCAGACAUGAAACCUACAUGCAGACACAGACAAGGAUAUUAACGAGCGUCUGGACAGCAAAUACAGGGUGCCACUGACUUUUGUUGCAUACAGAGAGGAAAUGAAUGAAUGAGCCGACUGGAUAUGAGAGGGAAGGGGAUGGAGAGGGAUCCAAACGGACCCCUGGGACGUGGCUGAGGUGACUGAGUGGACGGUGGUGCCGCUUCCGGGGCGGGGGGGGGCGGGGGGCGAUGCUGAAAGAAGUACACCCUUUAGUGGCUGUUGAGGAAGUGCCCCUGAGACCAUGAACCCUCUUAUCCAGGCUCUGAGCUUCUUAUGCUGUGCUCUCGUGUUGUAACUGACCCAGGGAUCAAAGAGCAAUAGCACCUCUAAACCAGAGCAGCAAUUCCUGGGAUUAAUCAUCAGGGGGCGUAGGGUCCAAGACGAGAAACCGGAAUUUGGAAACCAUGAGAAAGAGAACCCUGUCCAUCUACGAACGGCUUCACUCUUCUGCGUCGCAGUGGCUCUGGGGCUUCAGUCUAAGCCGGUGAUCCUCCGCGGUGGGAGGCAGGAGGCACCUGUGCUGUGAGGACCGCCGAGAGCACUGUCUACACCGAGCACAGUGAAAACCGUGUAGGCAGACACCCUAGAGCCCACCGGAAAGGCAGUCAGAUGCUCUGCUCCUGAGCUGCUCACCGUCCACCUCACUGUACUUAUCCCUGCGCCUUCGUCAAGGGCUUGUGUACGAGGAACGGGAAAAAACGCGAUUUUAGAAUUCUUAAUUGAAAACGAAGGAAAAACUUCUCUUUUAUUUUUUUAGGACCCACCUGCGGCAUAUGGAAGUUUCCAGACUAGGGGUCGAAUCAGAGCUACAGCUGCCAGCCUACGCCACAGCCACAGCCACGCCAGAUCCGAGCCGCCUCUGCCACCUACACCCCAGCUCACGGCAACACUGGAUCCUUAACCCACUGAGCAAAGCCAGGGAUCGAACCUGUAUCCUCAUGGAUACUAGUUGGGUUUAUAACUCACUGAGCCACAACGGGGACUCCCCAAACUUCUCUAUAUUUUGUGAUAACUUUUUAAAAUGACUUUUUAUGGCCCCACCUGUGGCAUAUGGACGUUCCCAGGCUGGGGACUGAGCAGCUGAGCAACACCGGAUCUUUAACCCACUGCUCAGGCCAGGGCUAGAACCUGUGCCUUUGCAGCAACCCAAGCUGCUGCAGUCAGAUCCUUAACCCACUGCACCACACUGGGAACUCCUGGGAAAACACUUUUAACUAAGAGUGUUCAUCUACAGAAGGUGUAAUGACCCCACUGCCACCAGUUUUAGCUAGAUAUGAAUAGUUUGUUUUAUUCAGAUCAGAAAAUGCUCUGUAUAAGAAAGCAACAGGAGGAGUUCCCGUCGUGGUGCAGUGGUAACGAACCUGGCUAGUAUCCACUAGCAUCCAUGAGGACAUGGGUUUGAUCCUUAGCCUCACUUACUGGGUUAAGGAUCCGGCUAUGCUGUGAACGGUGGUGCAGGCCCGGAGCUGCAGCUCUGACUUGACCCCUAGCCUGGGGACUGCCAUAUGCCACGGGUGCGGCCCUAAAAA
rnacentral:lncRNA from 1 species